UACGGAGGGUGCAAGCAUUGAUCGGAAUUACUGGGCGUAAAGGGCGCGUAGGCGGUAAGGUAAGUCAGAUGUGAAAUUCCGCAGCUCAACUGCGGAGCUGCAUUUGAAACUGCCUUGCUAGAGUGUAGUUAGGGAAAACGGAAUUCCACGUGUAGCGGUGAAAUGCGUAGAUAUGUGGAAGAACACCGGUGGUGAAGACGGUUUUCUGGGCUAUAACUGACGCUGAGGCGCGAAAGCUAGGGGAGCAAACAGG
rnacentral:rRNA from 1 species